CCGUGUUUGUACUAAAAUGAGCAACACGACGGGUGCCAGAUAUGGAACAGGAUUUGCCUACCUUUCCGAAGCACCUGAGAUCAUCCCCCAGUUUUUGGUUGGGUUCAUGUUGCUUAGUCUUUAGUUUCAAUGUUGUGUUAUGUGUAUUAUUGUUUUUCUGUUUUUCUUUUUCUUUUUUAGCCAUGGCGUUGACGGUUUGUUUUCGAUCUAUGAGUUUGAAUGUCCCUGUAGUAUAUUUCAUUCCACUGUAGGGAGCUGACCUAACAAUGUUAGUGAAAAGUGUGAAAUUCUAAAAUAUGUACAUGUUAGCAACCCGGCAAAUUGUAACUUUACGAGGAAUGCUACAAAUGAUAUAGAUCGAUCAACUGACAAUGAAUAACCAAC
rnacentral:lncRNA from 1 species